rnacentral:tRNA from 1 species
GGUGGCUCAGUGAUAGAGCACUUGCCUUGCAUGCAUGGGGCCCUGGGUUCGAAUCCUCAACACCA